rnacentral:tRNA from 1 species
CUGUAGCUCAACGGAUAGAGCACUAGUCUACGGAACUAGAGAUAUAGGUUCGAAUCCUUUCUAGG